rnacentral:rRNA from 1 species
GAAAGGAAGAUUAAUACAAGAUGGCAUCAUGAGUCCGCAUGUUCACAUGAUUAAAGGUAUUCCGGUAGACGAUGGGGAUGCGUUCCAUUAGAUAGUAGGCGGGGUAACGGCCCACCUAGUCUUCGAUGGAUAGGGGUUCUGAGAAGAAGGUCCCCCACAUUGGAACUGAGACACGGUCCAAACUCCUACGGGAGGCAGCAGUGAGGAAUAUUGGUCAAUGGGCGAGAGCCUGAACCAGCCAAGUAGCGUGAAGGAUGACUGCCCUAUGGGUUGUAAACUUCUUUUAUAAAGGAAUAAAGUCGGGUAUGGAUACCCGUUUGCAUGUACUUUAUGAAUAAGGAUCGGCUAACUCCGUGCCAGCAGCCGCGGUAAUACGGAGGAUCCGAGCGUUAUCCGGAUUUAUUGGGUUUAAAGGGAGCGUAGAUGGAUGUUUAAGUCAGUUGUGAAAGUUUGCGGCUCAACCGUAAAAUUGCAGUUGAUACUGGAUAUCUUGAGUGCAGUUGAGGCAGGCGGAAUUCGUGGUGUAGCGGUGAAAUGCUUAGAUAUCACGAAGAACUCCGAUUGCGAAGGCAGCCUGCUAAGCUGCAACUGACAUUGAGGCUCGAAAGUGUGGGUAUCAAACAGGAUUAGAUACCCUGGUAGUCCACACGGUAAACGAUGGAUACUCGCUGUUUGCGAUAUACUGCAAGCGGC